UACGGAGGGGGCUAGCGUUGUUCGGAAUUACUGGGCGUAAAGCGCACGUAGGCGGCUUUGUAAGUUAGAGGUGAAAGCCCAGGGCUUAACCCUGGAAUUGCCUUUAAGACUGCAUCGCUAGAAUCGUGGAGAGGUGAGUGGAAUUCCGAGUGUAGAGGUGAAAUUCGUAGAUAUUCGGAAGAACACCAGUGGCGAAGGCGGCCUGCUGGGCAGUUGCUGACACUGAGGCGCGACAGCGUGGGGAGCAAACAGG
rnacentral:rRNA from 1 species